rnacentral:rRNA from 1 species
GAUGAACGCUGACAGAAUGCUUAACACAUGCAAGUCUUUGGCGAAGCUGUGCUUGCACAGCCUAGCCAGGCGGACGGGUGAGUAACGCGUAAGGAACUUGCCCUGCAGUCAGGGAUAACAGACGGAAACGACUGAUAAGACCUGGUAAAGUCAGGCGGACUCAUGUCCAGCCUGAUGAAAAGAGAUGCUGCAGGAGAGCCUUGCGUCCUAUUAGCUUGUUGGUGGGGUAACGGCCCACCAAGGCGAUGAUAGGUAGCCGGCCUGAGAGGGUGGACGGCCACAAGGGGACUGAGAUACGGCCCUUACUCCUACGGGAGGCAGCAGUGGGGAAUAUUGGACAAUGGGGGCAACCCUGAUCCAGCAAUUCUGUGUGCACGAUGAAGGUUUUCGGAUUGUAAAGUGCUUUCAGCAGGGAAGAAAAAAAUGACGGUACCUGCAGAAGAAGCGACGGCUAAAUACGUGCCAGCAGCCGCGGUAAUACGUAUGUCGCAAGCGUUAUCCGGAAUUAUUGGGCAUAAAGGGCAUCUAGGCGGCCAGAUAAGUCUGGGGUGAAAACUUGCGGCUCAACCGCAAGCCUGCCCUGGAAACUAUGCGGCUAGAGUACUGGAGAGGUGGACGGAACUGCACGAGUAGAGGUGAAAUUCGUAGAUAUGUGCAGGAAUGCCGAUGAUGAAGAUAGUUCACUGGACGGUAACUGACGCUGAAGUGCGAAAGCUAGGGGAGCAAACAGG